GACGAACGCUGGCGGCGUGCUUAACACAUGCAAGUCGAACGGAAAGGCCUUUUCGGAGGUACUCGAGUGGCGAACGGGUGAGUAACACGUGGGUGAUCUGCCCUGCACUCUGGGAUAAGCCUGGGAAACUGGGUCUAAUACCGGAUAGGACCGCACUUUAGUGUGUGUGGUGGAAAGUUUUUUCGGUGUAGGAUGAGCCCGCGGCCUAUCAGCUUGUUGGUGGGGUAAUGGCCUACCAAGGCGGCGACGGGUAGCCGGACUGAGAGGUUGGUCGGCCACAUUGGGACUGAGAGACGGCCCAGACUCCUACGGGAGGCAGCAGUGGGGAAUAUUGCACAAUGGGCGCAAGCCUGAUGCAGCGACGCCGCGUGGGGGAUGACGGCCUUAGGGUUGUAAACUCCUUUCGCCAGGGACGAAGCGUUUUGUGACGGUACCUGGAGAAGAAGCACCGGCUAACUACGUG
rnacentral:rRNA from 1 species